GAUGAACGCUGGCGGCGUGCUUAACACAUGCCAGUCGAACGAUGAAGCCCAGCUUGCUGGGUGGAUUAGUGGCGAACGGGUGAGUAACACGUGAGUAACCUGCCCUUGACUCUGGGAUAAGCCCGGGAAACUGGGUCUAAUACCGGAUAGGAGCGCCUGUCGCAUGACGGGUGUUGGAAAGAUUUUUCGGUCAUGGAUGGACUCGCGGCCUAUCAGCUUGUUGGUGAGGUAAUGGCUCACCAAGGCGACGACGGGUAGCCGGCCUGAGAGGGUGACCGGCCACACGGGGACUGAGAAACGGCCCAGACUCCUACGGGAGGCAGCAGUGGGGAAUAUUGCACAAGGGGCGGAAGCCUGAUGCAGCGACGCCGCGUGAGGGAUGACGGCCUUCGGGUUGGAAACCUCUUUCAGUAGGGAAGAAGCGAAAGUGACGGUACCUGCAGAAGAAGCACAGGCUAACUACGU
rnacentral:rRNA from 1 species